rnacentral:rRNA from 1 species
CCUACGGGCGGCUGCAGUGGGGAAUAUUGGACAAUGGGCGAAAGCCUGAUCCAGCCAUGCCGCGUGUGUGAAGAAGGCCUUCGGGUUGUAAAGCACUUUCAGUGGGGAAGAAAGCCUUGGGGCUAAUACCCUCGAGGAAGGACAUCACCCACAGAAGAAGCACCGGCUAACUCCGUGCCAGCAGCCGCGGUAAUACGGAGGGUGCGAGCGUUAAUCGGAAUUACUGGGCGUAAAGCGCGCGUAGGCGGUCUGAUAAGCCGGUUGUGAAAGCCCCGGGCUCAACCUGGGAACGGCAUCCGGAACUGUCAGGCUAGAGUGCAGGAGAGGAAGGUAGAAGUCCCGGUGUAGCGGUGAAAUGCGUAGAGAUCGGGAGGAAUACCAGUGGCGAAGGCGGCCUUCUGGACUGACACUGACGCUGAGGUGCGAAAGCGUGGGUAGCAAACAGGAUUAGAUACCCCAGUAGUC